rnacentral:misc_RNA from 1 species
GUAGCUUGCUAGUUUGAUAUUCACGCUCUUGGGUCCAUAAUUUCUCAACAAACACUAUUAAAAUUGCGUUAAAAAUUUGAACCACUUUGAGAUUUCAAGGGCUUUAUUGAUUGCAAUCAAAUAUCUAUAAUUUGGCUAAGCAUUUAAAAUUUUCAAAGUCACCUCCCACAACGAAGGUUCCAUGCUUCUCCUACAUGCAAGGCUUAGAAAAGAUCUCAAUUUGCUUAGUAAUCUUGACGCAAUAUGGGCUCUCGUCAUGGCUUCUAAGAAAAAUUUCCAACUAAGAAUUUUCAUUCAUGUAACCCUUUACGUGCGCAUCCUUCCCUUCCAAAUAAACAAAACAACUCCCAAAUUUCUCUUUCUUGCAAAUCUUCGAACUUAACUUUACCCUAUUGAAAAGUAGGACUAAAAGAUUGGAUAUUCAAGUUUUGUAGGAAAGCUUAAGAAUCUCAACUAUCUACUUGGUUCAAUUGUGACAUCCAACUCAAUUUCUAAAUCCCUACAACCAUUUAAGGAAUUUAUAGUACUUACCUUUGUUGGAAUCUAUAGUAUGCCACAAUCAAAGGAACCAGAAAAAGUAACUAAACACAUCUACAAGAAAAUUAUACAAUUUAGGAAGUUCCAAACUUCUAGUGCAUGAGGCUUUCUGCAUUGCAAGCUUCAUGGAGGACUCAAAUAUAUAAAGCCUUCCCCUCACACCAAAUGGAGGCUAUUUAUGUGAUUUUAACCAAUGACCUUCAAAUCAUAAUGGAGCAAACUUAUCAUUGCACCAACUUACAAGGGAGAAACCUUAUCCUUCACCUCCCCACAACCAUUCCAAGGUAUUAUGACAAAGUCGAUAUGAAUUUUAUAGUAGAUUUUAU